rnacentral:rRNA from 1 species
AAUAGCUCACUAGUCGAGUGACACUGCGCCGAAAAUGUACCGGGGCUAAACAUAUUACCGAAGCUGUGGAUUGUCCUUUGGACAAUGGUAGGAGAGCGUUCUAAGGGCGUUGAAGCAUGAUCGUAAGGACAUGUGGAGCGCUUAGAAGUGAGAAUGCCGGUGUGAGUAGCGAAAGACGGGUGAGAAUCCCGUCCACCGAUUGACUAAGGUUUCCAGAGGAAGGCUCGUCCGCUCUGGGUUAGUCGGGUCCUAAGCUGAGGCCGACAGGCGUAGGCGAUGGAUAACAGGUUGAUAUUCCUGUACCACCUAUAAUCGUUUUAAUCGAUGGGGGGACGCAGUAGGAUAGGCGAAGCGUGCGAUUGGAUUGCACGUCUAAGCAGUAAGGCUGAGUAUUAGGCAAAUCCGGUACUCGUUAAGGCUGAGCUGUGAUGGGGAGAAGACAUUGUGUCUUCGAGUCGUUGAUUUCACACUGCCGAGAAAAGCCUCUAGAUAGAAAAUAGGUGCCCGUACCGCAAACCGACACAGGUAGUCAAGAUGAGAAUUCUAAGGUGAGCGAGCGAACUCUCGUUAAGGAACUCGGCAAAAUGACCCCGUAACUUCGGGAGAAGGGGUGCUCUUUAGGGUUAACGCCCAGAAGAGCCGCAGUGAAUAGGCCCAAGCGACUGUUUAUCAAAAACACAGGACUCUGCAAAAUAGAAAUAUGACGUAUAGGGUCUGACACCUGCCCGGUGCUGGAAGGUUAAGGAAGGAGCUUAGAGGUAACUCGAAGGUUUUGACUGAAGCCCCAGUAAACGGCGGCCGUAACUAUAACGGUCCUAAGGUAGCGAAAUUCCUUGUCGGGUAAGUUCCGACCUGCACGAAUGGUGUAACGAUCUGGGCACUGUC